rnacentral:rRNA from 1 species
UACGGAGGAUGCAAGCGUUAUCCGGAUUCAUUGGGUUUAAAGGGUGCGUAGGCGGGCUAUUAAGUCGGCGGUGAAAUUUUGCAGCUCAACUGUAAAAGUGCCAUCGAUACUGGUUUUCUUGAGUGUGGAUGAGGUAGGCGGAAUUUGUGGUGUAGCGGUGAAAUGCAUAGAUAUCACGAGGAACUCCGAUUGCGCAGGCAGCUUACUAAACCAUAACUGACGCUCAGGCACGAAGGCGUGGGGAUCAAACAGGAUUAGA